GGCCGUGUGGCUCAAUGGCAGAGCGUCUGACUACGAUUGCAAACCCAUACGGGUCACAUGUUAUCAGAAGGUCGCAGGUUCGACCCCUGUCUCGGUCA